rnacentral:rRNA from 1 species
CAUCACUCAAGUGCCUCGGCAAUUGAGUGAUGGUGUAAAACCAUCACAAUAACAGCGCAGGAUUUGCCAACAAGAUUGGCUGAUUUUUUCAAGCCGCAGCGCAGUGGACAUCGAAGUCCAUGAGCAGCGGAAGUUAAAAAAUCGGGCAAGAUUGGCCGCAAAGCCAAGCGGGACAUUUGAGGAUGGGGUGACUGCGUACCUUUUGUAUAAUGGGUCAGCGACUUAUAUUCUGUAGCAAGGUUAACCGUAUAGGGGAGCCGUAGGGAAACCGAGUCUUAACUGGGCGAAUAAGUUGCAGGGUAUAGACCCGAAACCCGGUGAUCUAGCCAUGGGCAGGUUGAAGGUUGGGUAACACUAACUGGAGGACCGAACCGACUAAUGUUGAAAAAUUAGCGGAUGACUUGUGGCUGGGGGUGAAAGGCCAAUCAAACCGGGAGAUAGCUGGUUCUCCCCGAAAGCUAUUUAGGUAGCGCCUUGUGAACUCAUCUUCGGGGGUAGAGCACUGUUUCGACUAGGGGGUCAUCCCGACUUACCAACUCGAUGCAAACUACGAAUACCGAAGAAUGUUAUCACGGGAGACACACGGCGGGUGCUAACGUUCGUCGUGAAGAGGGAAACAACCCAGACCGCCAGCUAAGGUCCCAAAGUCAUAGUUAAGUGGGAAACGAAGUGGGAAGGCUCAGACAGCCAGGAUGUUGGCUUAGAAGCAGCCAUCAUUUAAAGAAAGCGUAAUAGCUCACUGGUCGAGUCGGCCUGCGCGGAAGAUGUAACGGGGCUAAACUAUGCACCGAAGCUGCGGCAGCGAACGUAUCACUUAAACUGAUUAAGUGAUACUCAAAUGUAUCAAAACGAUUGACGGAGCGAAGCGACGUCAAUGCGUCCAACAAAGUCGAGGCGGAAACGUCAGGCAGUCAGUUUAAGGAUACGUUCGUUGGGUAGGGGAGCGUUCUGUAAGCCUGUGAAGGUGUGCUGUGAGGCAUGCUGGAGGUAUCAGAAGUGCGAAUGCUGACAUAAGUAACGAUAAUGCGGGUGAAAAACCCGCACGCCGGAAGACCAAGGGUUCCUGUCCAACGUUAAUCGGGGCAGGGUGAGUCGACCCCUAAGGCGAGGCAGAAAUGCGUAGUCGAUGGGAAACGGGUUAAUAUUCCCGUACUGGUGAUAAUUGCGAUGGGGGGACGGAGAAGGCUAGGCUAUCCGGGCGACGGUUGUCCCGGUUUAAGGAUGUAGGCAGGUGAAUUAGGCAAAUCCGGUUCACUAUAUGCUGAGGUCCGAUGACGAGUCACUACGGUGAUGAAGUAGCUCAUGCCCCGCUUCCAGGAAAAGCCUCUAAGCUCUAGAUUAUCAUUAAUCGUACCCCAAACCGACACAGGUGGUCAGGUAGAGAAUACUCAGGCGCUUGAGAGAACUCGGGUGAAGGAACUAGGCAAAAUGGUGCCGUAACUUCGGGAGAAGGC